UAAGGAAUAUUGGUCAAUGGACGCAAGUCUGAACCAGCCAUGCCGCGUGAAGGAUGAAGGUCCUCUGGAUUGUAAACUUCUUUUAUAUGGGACGAAACCCGGGAAUUCCUUCCCGAUUGACGGUACCAUAGGAAUAAGCACCGGCUAACUCCGUGCCAGCAGCCGCGGUAAUACGGAGGGUGCAAGCGUUAUCCGGAUUCACUGGGUUUAAAGGGUGCGUAGGAGGGUAGGUAAGUCAGUGGUGAAAUCUUCGAGCUUAACUCGGAAACUGCCGUUGAUACUAUCUAUCUUGAAUACCGUGGAGGUGAGCGGAAUAUGUCAUGUAGCGGUGAAAUGCUUAGAUAUGACAUAGAACACCAAUUGCGAAGGCAGCUCGCUACACGAAUAUUGACUCUGAGGCACGAAAGCGUGGGGAUCAAACA
rnacentral:rRNA from 1 species